rnacentral:rRNA from 1 species
GGCGGCGUGCCUAAUACAUGCAAGUCGAGCGAACGGACGAGAAGCUUGCUUCUCUGAUGUUAGCGGCGGACGGGUGAGUAACACGUGGAUAACCUACCUAUAAGACUGGGAUAACUUCGGGAAACCGGAGCUAAUACCGGAUAAUAUUUUGAACCGCGUGGUUCAAAAGUGAAAGACGGUCUUGCUGUCACUUAUAGAUGGAUCCGCGCUGCAUUAGCUAGUUGGUAAGGUAACGGCUUACCAAGGCAACGAUGCAUAGCCGACCUGAGAGGGUGAUCGGCCACACUGGAACUGAGACACGGUCCAGACUCCUACGGGAGGCAGCAGUAGGGAACCUUCCGCAAUGGGCGAAAGCCUGACGGAGCAACGCCGCGUGAGUGAUGAAGGUCUUCGGAUCGUAAAACUCUGUUAUUAGGGAAGAACAUAUGUGUAAGUAACUGUGCACAUCUUGACGGUACCUAAUCAGAAAGCCACGGCUAACUACGUGCCAGCAGCCGCGGUAAUACGUAGGUGGCAAGCGUUAUCCGGAAUUAUUGGGCGUAAAGCGCGCGUAGGCGGUUUUUUAAGUCUGAUGUGAAAGCCCACGGCUCAACCGUGGAGGGUCAUUGGAAACUGGAAAACUUGAGUGCAGAAGAGGAAAGUGGAAUUCCAUGUGUAGCGGUGAAAUGCGCAGAGAUAUGGAGGAACACCAGUGGCGAAGGCGACUUUCUGGUCUGUAACUGACGCU